AUUCUCACGGCUGCCCAUAUAGACCAAGAGAAUGCAGUCAAUAUUGCCGGAGUGUAGGUGGCUAUGCACGGGGACACUGCAGCUUCCUCGUCAUCUGGCUUUGUCUGUGCGAUACUACACACGCUUUAACUUCAACAGGUGAACAUGACUCAAACAAGCCCACCGAAAACGGACAUGGCUGCCCACACAUGCCUGUUGAAUGUGACAACUACUGCCGACACAGUCUCGGCUACCCAAUGGGGGGAAUGUGCAACGUUCUUGUGCCAAAUAUGUGCGUGUGCAACGUUCAAGGACGUGCAUUAGAAUCCGAGUAGCACAGCAUUUUCCCCAUCUCUGACUGGUCUUAUCAGCAUCACCGCUUUUGUAUCACAGCGCACGACGCACGAGCAAUAAUGUUGACUCAAUGUUCUUUAUGCAGUUUUGACUUUGACUGGCAGACCUAUAACUUAGCCAUUAUAGCGCUCAUUACAAAAUGAUCGUCACGCAACUUCAUAUAGACACAGCAGCACGUCGCCAAAAAUAGUAUCAACGCUGAUGUAUGCAAAUCCCAGCCACUCCAACUCAAGCACAGCGAAGCUAUGGAAGAGAAUUCUCAAGCCAUUCCGAGGUCCGAAGGGUCUGAUUUACCACUGACCGAAAUCUUCCCAAGCCUUUGCAAAUGUUUCACUGUAUCCAGUACAAUUACUUCGCUGAAACUGA